rnacentral:rRNA from 1 species
UCUCAGGGUGCUCCGCACCAUUAUCUUAACGGCGGACGGGUGAGUAAUGCUUAGGAAUCUGCCUAUUAGUGGGGGACAACAUUCCGAAAGGAAUGCUAAUACCGCAUACGCCCUACGGGGGAAAGCAGGGGAUCUUCGGACCUUGCGCUAAUAGAUGAGCCUAAGUCGGAUUAGCUAGUUGGUGGGGUAAAGGCCUACCAAGGCGACGAUCUGUAGCGGGUCUGAGAGGAUGAUCCGCCACACUGGGACUGAGACACGGCCCAGACUCCUACGGGAGGCAGCAGUGGGGAAUAUUGGACAAUGGGCGGAAGCCUGAUCCAGCCAUGCCGCGUGUGUGAAGAAGGCCUUUUGGUUGUAAAGCACUUUAAGCGAGGAGGAGGCUACUAGUAUUAAUACUACUGGAUAGUGGACGUUACUCGCAGAAUAAGCACCGGCUAACUCUGUGCCAGCAGCCGCGGUAAUACAGAGGGUGCGAGCGUUAAUCGGAUUUACUGGGCGUAAAGCGUGCGUAGGCGGCUUUUUAAGUCGGAUGUGAAAUCCCCGAGCUUAACUUGGGAAUUGCAUUCGAUACUGGGAAGCUAGAGUAUGGGAGAGGAUGGUAGAAUUCCAGGUGUAGCGGUGAAAUGCGUAGAGAUCUGGAGGAAUACCGAUGGCGAAGGCAGCCAUCUGGCCUAAUACUGACGCUGAGGUACGAAAGCAUGGGGAGCAAACAGGAUUAGAUACCCUGGUAGUCCAUGCCGUAAACGAUGUCUACUAGCCGUUGGGGCCUUUGAGGCUUUAGUGGCGCAGCUAACGCGAUAAGUAGACCGCCUGGGGAGUACGGUCGCAAGACUAAAACUCAAAUGAAUUGACGGGGGGCCGCACAAGCGGUGGAGCAUGUGGUUUAAUUCGAUGCAACGCGAAGAACCUUACCUGGUCUUGACUUACAGAGAACUUUCCAGAGAUGGAUUGGUGCCUUCGGAACUCUGAUACAGGUGCUGCAUGGC